AUUGAACGCUGGCGGCAUGCUUUACACAUGCAAGUCGAACGGCAGCGGGGGCUUCGGCCUGCCGGCGAGUGGCGAACGGGUGAGUAAUGCAUCGGAACGUGCCCAUGUCGUGGGGGAUAACGUAGCGAAAGCUACGCUAAUACCGCAUACGUCCUGAGGGAGAAAAGCGGGGGAUCUUUGGACCUCGCGCGAUUGGAGCGGCCGAUGUCGGAUUAGCUAGUAGGUGAGGUAAAGGCUCACCUAGGCGACGAUCCGUAGCGGGUCUGAGAGGAUGAUCCGCCACACUGGAACUGAGACACGGUCCAGACUCCUACGGGAGGCAGCAGUGGGGAAUUUUGGACAAUGGCGGCAG
rnacentral:rRNA from 1 species